rnacentral:rRNA from 1 species
UUACAAUGGCAGGUACAGCGGGAGGCCAGGCGGCGACGCCGAGCGGAACCCGAAAACCUGUCUCAGUUCGGAUCGGAGUCUGCAACCCGACUCCGUGAAGCUGGAUUCGCUAGUAAUCGCGCAUCAGCCAUGGCGCGGUGAAUACGUUCCCGGGCCUUGUACACACCGCCCGUCAAGCCAUGGAAGCCGGGGGUGCCUGAAGUGUGCAGCCGCAAGGAGCGCCCUAAGGUAAAACCGGUGACUGGGGCUAAGUCGUAACAAGGUAUC